CACCAUCAUCAAGAAUGCAGAAGAACACUGCAUACCAACCGAGCAGCCAAGCAGCGGUGGUCAAUCGAUGAGGACCAAAAACGUCAAAAAAAUGGAAAUCA
rnacentral:ncRNA from 10 species